AGGCAAAGGGAGGAGAAGCGCAGGGAUAUGCACGUCGUUAGGAGGGCGACCGUCCACCGGAAUCCGGUGAACUCGAGGGAGCUGUAGCGCGAGGGAAAGAGGCCAAUGGGUUACGGGUUUUGUCACGAGGCCAGAAUUAUAACCACUAGCUGUUGAACUGGGCAGCCCGAACCGACCAACCAAGGCGACGAACCCGGUUCGAUCCGAACAGUUUAAGGAAUUCGAUAAAACCCUCGAAUCACUAAAACAAAACCUCACCGUCAGAUUCCAAGACAGCCCUCCGCAUCCACCCAAAACACCCCAUUGCCUGAGGUCCUCUUCUUCGUUCCAAUUAAGAUGCGUCUUGAGAUCUUAGCUCCACUUCAGUUGGAGCAUUUCGAUCUAAGAGCCAAAGUGCAAAAAAUCUUGAUUCUUAAGUGAAGUACAACUCAGUUGCAGAGGUUGGGGGAUUUUAAGCUGUCUCAUAUCUUCAACUAUCAACCCUACUUCACGAUCUUUAUGCCAUGAGGUGAGACAAGGUAAUCUUGCGUCUCUUGUUAAUGAAGGACCUGCAGAAUGGAUGGACAAAAGUCACAAGAAACGCUUCAUUCUUUGGCCAAGAAUUCAAGAUUGGGCUGAUCAUAACUUGAAUUUUGUGCAUAAAGUCUUGAAGGUGGACACAACUGUGCCACUCUUGUUGCUGCCUUCUCUGUAAAUAAGUGAAUAUGUUAAAACUUUGUUCGUUCGUUUACGAACUUGGAUGAUCUAAGAUUAGUGUUUGAAAGAUUUUUAUUAGCUGAACUGAAUUUGUAACCUUGGAAUGUAAGGUAGAAGGUUGACAAAUCAUUUUGUCAAGAUAUGUGAAGCCCAUUUACUUUA